rnacentral:rRNA from 1 species
GAUGGACCCGCGUCUGAUUAGCUGGUUGGUGAGGUAACGGCCCACCAAGGCGACGAUCAGUAGCCGGCCUGAGAGGGUGAACGGCCACAUUGGGACUGAGACACGGUCCAGACACCUACGGGUGGCAGCAGUCGAGAAUCAUUCACAAUGGGGGCAACCCUGAUGGUGCGACGCCGCGUGGGGGAAUGAAGGUCUUCGGAUUGUAAACCCCUGUCAUGUGGGAGCAAAUUAAAAAGAUAGUACCACAAGAGGAAGAGACGGCUAACUCUGUGCCAGCAGCCGCGGUAAUACAGAGGUCUCAAGCGUUGUUCGGAAUCACUGGGCGUAAAGCGUGCGUAGGCUGUUUCGUAAGUCGUGUGUGAAAGGCAGGGGCUCAACCCCUGGAUUGCACAUGAUACUGCGAGACUAGAGUAAUGGAGGGGGAACCGGAAUUCUCGGUGUAGCAGUGAAAUGCGUAGAUAUCGAGAGGAACACUCGUGGCGAAGGCGGGUUCCUGGACAUUAACUGACGCUGAGGCACGAAGGCCAGGGGAGCGAAAGGGAUUAGAUACCCCUGUAGUCCUGGCAGUAAACGGUGCACGCUUGGUGUGCGGGGAAUCGACCCCCUGCGUGCCGGAGCUAACGCGUUAAGCGUGCCGCCUGGGGAGUACGGUCGCAAGAUUAAAACUCAAAGAAAUUGACGGGGACCCGCACAAGCGGUGGAGUAUGUGGCUUAAUUCGAUGCAACGCGAAGAACCUUACCUGGGCUUGACAUGUAAUGAACAACAUGUGAAAGCAUGCGACUCUUCGGAGGCGUUACACAGGUGCUGCGUGGCCGUCGUCAGCUCGUGUCGUGAGAUGUUUGGUUAAGUCCAGCAACGAGCGCAACCCCUGUUGCCAGUUACCAUCGAGUAAUGUCGGGGACUCUGGCGAGACUGCCCAGAUCAACUGGGAGGAAGGUGGGGACGACGUCAGGUCAGUAUGGCCCUUAUGCCCAGGGCUGCACACGUACUACAAUGCCCAGUACAGAGGGGGCCGAAGCCGCGAGGCGGAGGAAAUCCUGAAAACUGGGCCCAGUUCGGACUGUAGGCUGCAACCCGCCUACACGAAGCCGGAAUCGCUAGUAAUGGCGCAUCAGCUACGGCGCCGUGAAUACGUUCCCGGGUCUUGCACACACCGCCCGUCA